UAUCAUAUUAAAGAGAUUAUAAAGCUGAUUUUAAAACUAAAAUUGGUGAACAGAUGCAAGAAAUUAACACCCUGAAAGAACAGAUUAAUGAAUUUAAUAAGGAAAAAAGCAAACUUGAAGAGACUUCUAGAAAAUACCAAGAUGAUAUUACAGAAUAUGAGAAAAAACAGACACAGUCUAAAAAUGUAUUAUCAACAGUCAAAUCUAAAAUAACAUCACAGAAAGAACAUAUAGAACGUUUAAGCACAGAUUACCUGACAUAUUUAACCAAGCGAGUCUCGAUCUGGCCAAUCAGACUUCGUAUCGAGAAAUGGGCGUCUUUCGUUAAGGGUUUUCCUGGAUCCUUAUAUAUUCAGAUAAAAACAAAAAAACAAAACCACUUUUACAAUAUACUAAUCUCGCAUUUCUUCGCAUAAUUCUCCGCAAUAUUGACUUGUAAAAAAUAACCCAUCCUUAAACGAAUGUGUGACAAUUUAUUGUGUGUUAAAUACUUUGAUAUCAUUUAUUUCAAGAAAUUGAGGUGAAAUUAUAAAAAAAUUGCAGACCUGACAUCACCAGAUAAAAAUGAAAUCCAUUAUUUUCACAUUGGUUGUCCUUGGUAUCGUUACUACAGUGACAGCAGAUUGCGAUUCCAUGAAAUGUGUCAGAUCAUUGUCCACUGUUGAUUUAUCAAAUCCUGUAACCGCCUGUCCAUAUCUGAGAACUGCCGUUGGAUGUUUAAAGACGGUUCAUGAUACGUGUUCAAUUCUUGAUGAUGAUAGUAAGUCUGCUAUUAAAGUUAUCCUGGACCAAACUAGUACAAAGAUAGAUGACGCGUGUAAUGAAAAAGGUUCUGGUUCUGGUCUGUCACAGAAUGUGUGUUUGGUGGCCAUACUUACUAUAAUUAUUUCUAUCUUUUCUUCGUUCUAAACAAUGUUUUCUUGAUUAAUUCUCUUCGAGUAUAUACCUUUUAUAUAACACAGUCACUUGAUGUUAACGGAGCAACUUUUUCAACACUAUUUCCACAAUGAUUCAAAACCGUGUCCACGGUGUUUCAAAACCGUUUCCAAAAUGAUUCAACCCCGUUUUAAUAGAAUUGUAUGUGAUAACGACAAGUUGUCCAUAUUAAAUUAAGUAAUUAUAUUCCGUCGAUUAUAUUUAAUAUAACCACUAAAAAGAUUGAUGUAAUAACUACUAUUAUAAAUACUAUUUGAUUACAAA